UGCUCCCAGGGAGAGAACACUGCCAGGUGCCUCUGAGUUCUGUGCCACUCAGGCAGUCACUCCUCUUCUCUGAAGUGUGUGGCUCCUGGGUCUCCUACCUUGCUCCUCCUUGCCCUGUCUUUGUCUUAGACUUUCCCCGGGUCCCUGUUGUGUUUCGUGGCAGGAGUUGAGAAGGAGAAAAAGGAGGGAAAAAGAGAAAUGGAAGCUCUGCGAACAGGCUGGCGGGCCAAGUGGACCGCACGCAGGAUGCAGAGGCGUCAAGGUGAUGAGGAGGAGGAUGCAGCGGCAGGACA
rnacentral:lncRNA from 12 species